rnacentral:rRNA from 1 species
AGAGUUUGAUCCUGGCUCAGAUUGAACGCUGGCGGCAGGCCUAACACAUGCAAGUCGAGCGCGAAAAGUUUUCGGACUUAGUAAAGCGGCGGACGGGUGAGUAACGCGUGGGAAUCUGCCCAGUAGUGGGGGACAACAGCCGGAAACGGCUGCUAAUACCGCAUACGCCCUACGGGGGAAAGGGGGGAUCUUCGGACCUCUCGCUAUUGGGUGAGCCCGCGUCGGAUUAGCUAGUUGGUAGGGUAAGGGCCUACCAAGGCUACGAUCCGUAACUGGUCUGAGAGGAUGAUCAGUCACACUGGAACUGAGACACGGUCCAGACUCCUACGGGAGGCAGCAGUGGGGAAUAUUGGACAAUGGGGGCAACCCUGAUCCAGCCAUGCCGCGUGUGUGAAGAAGGCCUUAGGGUUGUAAAGCACUUUCAGUGGGGAGAAAGGUUUGUCACCUAAUACGUGAUGAAAUUGAUGUUACCCACAGAAGAAGCACCGGCUAACUCCGUGCCAGCAGCCGCGGUAAUACGGAGGGUGCAAGCGUCAAUCGGAAUUACUGGGCGUAAAGCGCACGUAGGUGGUUCGCUAAGUCAGCUGUGAAAUCCCCGGGCUCAACCUGGGACUUGCAGUUGAAACUGGUGAGCUAGAGUA